UCCUUGUUGGUAUAGUGGACAGUAUAUCUGCCUGUCAAGCAGAAGAUUGGGGUUCGAGUCCCCAAUCUGGAG